rnacentral:tRNA from 1 species
UCACUCAUAGCUCAGUCGGUAAAGAAUCUGCCUGCAAAGCAGGAGACCGAGGUUCAAUUCCUGGGUCAG